GAUGGGGACGUCUCCACUCCAUGUCAGAUCCCACUGGCACAUCAGGAUCUCUGAGCCCUGCAGACGGAAGCCUGGGUAACACUGACAUUGGAGGCUGGAUCAGAUUGAAACUGGAUAGUCACAUCGGCUGUAGAGGUAUAGAGUCUAAAUCGGGGAAGAAAACCGCUGUACUGGCCCAGGAUGUUGGCUGUGAGGUCAUCACCAUCAUAAAAGGGCUUUUGUGGACUCGAGCAGACCAGUUUGUGGAAAGUUAAUGAGGGUCUGGCCGACAGAGCACUGGACCCUGGAGGGACAGUAUUGUGAAUACAAGCUUCUCUUGUGUGUAUAAUCAGUCAGACCCAGGAAAAGUCUGAAGAGAACCAGGACCGCAGUUCCCUGUAGGAGUCCUGAUGCCUGAACCUUACACCUCUAAUGACCAAUUCUCCUUCUGACAGAGCAGACCAGCUCUGACGGCAUGGCAGAUCCAGAGAUACGUCUCCCGUAGCAACGGAAGAGCUUUAAAGUCCGACUGUGGCUUUGUCACCCUUUCAAAUCACCGUGAAGAUUCAGACAAGACAACUGUUUCACUUUAGAAAGCAAUAUU